rnacentral:rRNA from 1 species
GACGAACGCUGGCGGCGUGCUUAACACAUGCAAGUCGAACGAUGAAGCCGGAGCUUGCUCUGGUGAAUUAGUGGCGAACGGGUGAGUAACACGUGAGUAACCUGCCCUUGACUCUGGGAUAACUGCUAGAAAUGGUAGCUAAUACCGGAUACGACCCUCGGAGGCAUCUUCAGGGGGUGGAAGGAAUUUCGGUCAAGGAUGGACUCGCGGCCUAUCAGCUAGUUGGUGAGGUAAUGGCUCACCAAGGCGACGACGGGUAGCCGGCCUGAGAGGGUGACCGGCCACACUGGGACUGAGACACGGCCCAGACUCCUACGGGAGGCAGCAGUGGGGAAUAUUGCACAAUGGGCGCAAGCCUGAUGCAGCAACGCCGCGUGAGGGAUGACGGCCUUCGGGUUGUAAACCUCUUUUGGUAGGGAAGAAGCGAAAGUGACGGUACCUGCAGAAAAAGCACCGGCUAACUACGUGCCAGCCGCCGCGGUAA